rnacentral:rRNA from 1 species
CACUGCCGAGAAAAGCCUCUAGAUAGAAAAUAGGUGCCCGUACCGCAAACCGACACAGGUAGUCAAGAUGAGAAUUCUAAGGUGAGCGAGCGAACUCUCGUUAAGGAACUCGGCAAAAUGACCCCGUAACUUCGGGAGAAGGGGUGCUCUUUAGGGUUAACGCCCAGAAGAGCCGCAGUGAAUAGGCCCAAGCGACUGUUUAUCAAAAACACAGGUCUCUGCUAAACCGUAAGGUGAUGUAUAGGGGCUGACGCCUGCCCGGUGCUGGAAGGUUAAGAGGAGUGGUUAGCUUCUGCGAAGCUACGAAUCGAAGCCCCAGUAAACGGCGGCCGUAACUAUAACGGUCCUAAGGUAGCGAAAUUCCUUGUCGGGUAAGUUCCGACCCGCACGAAAGGCGUAACGAUUUGGGCACUGUCUCAACGAGAGACUCGGUGAAAUCAUAGUACCUGUGAAGAUGCAGGUUACCCGCGACAGGACGGAAAGACCCCGUGGAGCUUUACUGUAGCCUGAUAUUGAAAUUCGGCACAGCUUGUACAGGAUAGGUAGGAGCCUUUGAAACGUGAGCGCUAGCUUACGUGGAGGCGCUGGUGGGAUACUACCCUAGCUGUGUUGGCUUUCUAACCCGCACCACUUAUCGUGGUGGGAGACAGUGUCAGGCGGGCAGUUUGACUGGGGCGGUCGCCUCCUAAAAGGUAACGGAGGCGCUCAAAGGUUCCCUCAGAAUGGUUGGAAAUCAUUCAUAGAGUGUAAAGGCAUAAGGGAGCUUGACUGCGAGACCUACAAGUCGAGCAGGGUCGAAAGACGGACUUAGUGAUCCGGUGGUUCCGCAUGGAAGGGCCAUCGCUCAACGGAUAAAAGCUACCCCGGGGAUAACAGGCUUAUCUCCCCCAAGAGUUCACAUCGACGGGGAGGUUUGGCACCUCGAUGUCGGCUCAUCGCAUCCUGGGGCUGUAGUCGGUCCCAAGGGUUGGGCUGUUCGCCCAUUAAAGCGGUACGCGAGCUGGGUUCAGAACGUCGUGAGACAGUU